rnacentral:rRNA from 1 species
UUGGAGGGCAAGUCUGGUGCCAGCAGCCGCGGUAAUUCCAGCUCCAAUAGCGUAUAUUAAAGUUGUUGCAGUUAAAAAGCUCGUAGUUGAACCUCGGGGUCUACCCAUUGGUCAGGCUUAAUUGUCUGUACUGGUGAGAUGGAUCUCUACCUUCUGAGGAACUUUCAUGCCAUUUAUUUGGUGUGAUGGGAAAUCAGGACUGUUACUUUGAAAAAAUUAGAGUGUUUAAAGCAGACUAUCGUCUGAAUACAUUAGCAUGGAAUAAUGAAAUAGGACGGACUGAUUCUAUUUCGUUGGUUUCUAGGAUCACCGUAAUGAUUAAUAGGGAUAGUUGGGGGCAUUAGUAUUCAAUUGUCAGAGGUGAAAUUCUUGGAUUUAUUGAAGACUAACUACUGCGAAAGCAUUUGCCAAGGAUGUUUUCAUUAAUCAAGAACGAAAGUUAGGGGAUCGAAGACGAUCAGAUACCGUCGUAGUCUUAACCAUAAACUAUGCCGACUAGGGAUCGGACGAAGUUAAUUUUAUAAUGACGCGUUCGGCGCCUUACGGGAAAC